GCUAAGAAUCUUGCGCAAUGGGCGAAAGCCUGACGCAGCAAUUCCGCGUGGGGGACGAAGGCCCUCGGGUCGUAAACCCCUUUUGCGAGGGAAGAAGUUCUGACGGUACCUCGCGAAUAAGACACGGCUAACUACGUGCCAGCAGCCGCGGUAAUACGUAGGUGUCAAGCGUUGUCCGGAUUUAUUGGGCGUAAAGCGCCCGCAGGCGGCUUGUUAAGUUCGAAGUGAAAUCUCCCGGCUUAACUGGGAGGGUGCUCCGAAAACUGGCAGGCUUGAGUCAUGGAGAGGGAUGUGGAAUUCCCGGUGUAGUGGUGAAAUGCGUAGAUAUCGGGAGGAACACCAGUGGCGAAGGCGGCAUCCUGGCCAUGUACUGACGCUCAGGGGCGAAAGCGUGGGGAGCAAACCGGAUUAGAAACCCCAGUAGUCC
rnacentral:rRNA from 1 species